UACGAGGGGGGCGAGCGUUGUUCGGAAUUAUUGGGCGUAAAGGGUGCGUAGGCGGUUUGGUAAGUCUGAUGUGAAAUCUAUGGGCUCAACUCAUAGUCUGCAUCGGAAACUGCCGUGCUUGAGGGUGGGGGAGGUGCGUGGAAUUCCCGGUGUAGCGGUGAAAUUCGUAGAUAUUCGGAAGAACACCAGUGGCGAAGGCGGCUCACUGGACUGGUAUUGACGCUGAGGUGCGAAAGCGUGGGGAGCAAACAGGG
rnacentral:rRNA from 1 species